GACGAACGCUGGCGGCGUGCUUAACACAUGCAAGUCGAACGGGAGUAUUGAAGAAGCUUGCUUUAGAGAUACUUUAGUGGCGGACGGGUGAGUAACGCGUGAGGAGCUGUCCUAUGCAGGGGGACAACAGCUGGAAACGGCUGCUAAUACCCCAUAAGCCGAGAGGUAAAAGGAUCAAUCCGGCAGAGGAGGUACUCGCGUCCUAUCAGCUAGUAGGUGAGGUAACGGCUCACCUAGGCGAAGACGGGUAGCCGGCCUGAGAGGGCGACCGGCCACACUGGGACUGAGACACGGCCCAGACUCCUACGGGAGGCAGCAGUGGGGAAUAUUGCACAAUGGGGGAAACCCUGAUGCAGCAACGCCGCGUGGAGGAAGAAGGUUUUCGGAUUGUAAACUCCUGUCUUUUGGGACGAUAAUGACGGUACCAAAAGAGGAAGCCACGGCUAACUACGUG
rnacentral:rRNA from 1 species